rnacentral:sRNA from 1 species
GUUAAGCUGCCUUAGGGAUAGCAAUGGAAAUCCUUUUUAAAACUUGAUAGUAAAAAUUAAGGUUAGAACUAAAAAUUUGGCAGAUUGCUUCGUCCUUCGUACUCGCCAUGACGUUUUAAAAAGAUUGAAAUGGAUAGCCCGACCCGAU